UACGAAGGGGGCUAGCGUUGUUCGGAAUCACUGGGCGUAAAGCGCACGUAGGCGGAUUUUUAAGUCAGGGGUGAAAUCCCGAGGCUCAACCUCGGAACUGCCUUUGAUACUGGAGAUCUUGAGUCCGGAAGAGGUAAGUGGAACUGCGAGUGUAGAGGUGAAAUUCGUAGAUAUUCGCAAGAACACCAGUGGCGAAGGCGGCUCACUGGCCCGGUACUGACGCUGAGGCACGAAAGCGUGGGGAGCAAACAGG
rnacentral:rRNA from 1 species